UCUGCGGCGGCGACCUUUGUCCUUCACGCCGCAUCACCACGACCAGUCGUCUAGGCGAGAUCAGCACUGCGUCAAGGGCCACGCGCACCCCUUCUUUCCUCCUUCGCCACGGAUCCUCUUCCUUGAUAUCAACACACACACACACACACACACACACACACACACACCAAGGUGGUCGCGCUCGCUUUCAGCCCUCCACACAGCUCUCAGCGGCGCGCUCACUGUACUUGUAAACAGAGUCUUUCUCCUCUCCUCGCCUCCCUUUGAGAGGGGGCCUUUGCCACGCCUACGGAAAGUGACACAGGCCCGCUGACGUGGGCCCCCUUGCAUUGACCCCUCCCCUCACCUUGUGCGCCGUCUCUCAUUUUGUUUUUGCUAGCGCUUCUCCCGCAGACGCGGCGCACACCAGCUCCGCCGCAGCUCUCCUCGUACCCUCACUCCUUUCUAGAGUCGAACAUGGAAUCGGUGGAGGCCGUGGAGCUCUUCUCGGAGCGCAGCGCACGCUAUCGCUACCGCGUGCCGGUGAGCGUGAUUCGCGAGCUGCAGUACGAGGGAUCACGCUACAGCGCUGAGUUCAACGUUGGCGGCUGGUUCUGGCGCUUCCACAUUCAAGAGCGAUCCGCCGAGGGCCAGCGCUUCCUGGCGCUGCACCUUCAGAGCUGCACGCCGGGUGCUGUCUCUGUCCACUUUAAGCUCACGGCCGUCUGCAUGCGUGACCCGCUGCAGUCGCGCAGCAAGACGUUCAACUGCACCUUCAAGAAGGCCGGAAGUGCUUGGGGACUUCACCAGUUCAUCGCGAUCGAGCAACUGCUGCACCCUGAGAGCGGGUUCGUGUACACGGUGCAGGAGACAGGGACCCGCUGCGUUGAUUUCGAGGCGGUGCUGCAGGUGGACAACGGCAGCGGCAACGGGCGUGCUCCACCUGUGCGCAGCGCAACCCGCUCCGUCACCCCGACCCGCAGCGUCGUUGGCGCCGGCGUUGCAGGAACGAACGGCGGACAGAUAUCGCCAAGCCGAGGCCCUAGCGUGCGGCCGGUCGGCGGACGUGGCGGCGUCACUCCACUGGGACGGAGCGGUGGGACGUCGUACUCGCCUGGCCGAGUCGGCACCAGCGCACUCGUUCCGAUGGAGGGCAGCGUGGACCGGCCUGGAGCGAGUGCCGGGGCCGCGCUGCGUCGCGGCUUCUACAGCGACCCGAGCGGUGGUCAGAUGAUGACCUUAGACAACGCCUCGACCGUCGGCGGCGAUGGCGGUGGCCGAGUAGCUGGGAGCGCCGUCGUGCGCGCACCGCUCGCGUACCCCUUUGCGCACUUGGAGAUCCUGUGCGACAUGAGCUUCGACGUCCAGGGCGUCCGCGUCAAGGCCCACCGCUGCGUGAUUGGCGCGCGCAUGCAGCCGCUGCUUCCCGAGCAGAUGCUGCCGUUGCAGGUCGGCUGCAUCGUCGCCAUCGCCGUCCCCCUCGACGUCUUCACAACCUUUCUGCGGUACGUGUACACGGAAGAGUAUCCUGAGUCGGGCGUUUUACCGCCAGAGUCGCUGCUUGACUUGUACCUGCUUGCGGCAGCGUGCGAGUUCUACGACCUCAGCGCGGUCUGCAUCCGCUACGUUCGCCCGCUCCUGACGCCUGAGAACAUUCUACCCAUUGUGCUGACGCGCUACAACGCUGCGGACGAGGUGCUCACCUCUCUCUACCUGCACGUGCUGCUGGACAACUACGAUAUCCUCAUCCAGGACCGCCAGUUUGAAGAGAUUCCUGGCCACCUCUUCCGUCGUCUUUCGCUAAUUCUUUACAGCAAGGAGACGGUGCCGAAUGCGCCGAUCCCACCCAUGAAAAACACACUGGGGAAGCAGCUUGCGUGGCUGGCGGAGUCGGGGGAGUACAGCGACUACGAGUGGGUGGUGGGGCCGCAGCAGUACGCGGUGCACGCCCACCGCUACAUUCUCGCCUGCCGCUGUGUGCUGUUCUCGCAAGCGAUGAACCCACGUAGCCCGGGACCGCUUCCGUCGUUCACCACCAACGAGUUCGACUUUUCCUUGCGUAGCUGGCAGAAGUUGUUGAUGGGGAUGUACCGUCGCCACCUUGACACCGCGCGCGACUUCUCGGCCGAGGACAUUGCCAUCAUCUUCAAGAUGCAGCAGGUGCUCAUCAUGGAUGGCCAACUGAAGCGCGAGGCGGAUGAGGCGUUUAGCAACACAAACGCCCUGCGCCUCCUCAUCUAUGCCGUGAAGCAUCAAAUACCGGAGUUGCACGAGCGUGCCAUCAGCUACGUGGCGCGUAACUUCAGCGCGAUGAUCCGCAACGACUCACAGGCGUGGGAGCUGAUUAGCGAGCUGCCGCAGACAGCUGUGGUGUCGCUGUUCCGCACGGUGACGGAGCAACCAACGUUGUAGAGGGUUUACCACAGAACGCGGUUACGGACAACGAGGCGGAAGCGUCAGCGGAGAAGAGAAGAGCCACUCAUAGCCUCAUAGAUGGGCAUACCGACCGGAGUGGGCGCAUGCACUUGUGUGUUUGUGUGUUGGGAGGGGGAGUGGGUCUCGCAGCCAGUGCGAGUGCAGUGCAUGUGCCUCCUGCGGUUUCUGCUCUCACCAACAUCGCUAUCUCUGGGUUACACUUAGCGAGGGAGGGGGGAGGCGAGAGCAACCAUGAUGACAGCGCCAGGGGCAUCGGCUACGUCUUCUCCCUUUUGCCCUUCCCCUCCUCGUCCUGCCUUGACGUGCGGGAGGAUGCGAGGGCCAUAGCCCCCAUAACCGCUCAUCCCCCAAGCCGGUGGAGCGCGUUCGCGUCACCAAGUUCUUGCCGAUGCGAUGCGUCUUGUGCGCGUUGUCUGUCUCUGUGUUGGUGCGCGCCGGCGUCCUGCGGUGCGGUGUUUGCUGCCCGUCGCUUGCGCAUGUCUCUGCGCUCCCGCUCGGCGGGCUGCCGUGCUGCUUUCGUUGUCGGCUCGCCUCGUUUCACGUGUGCACGUGUGUCUUUCCGUUUCUGUCUACUCCUCUCUUCACGUGCGUGGUUUUAGAUGCUCCUUUCCUGUUCAUGUUGGUCUAUCGAAGGGUGUGAUGGUGGGGCCCGUGGGAGGUGCGGGGCCGGCGGUGCGGUCUUCGGCUCUCUCCCUCUCCCCACUGCCUGCCCUCCCCCGUCUCUCUCUCCCUACGAUGCCCUGUACUAGAAGUGUCCCCUGUAUGCCUCUCUCUGUGUGUCGCCUUGUUGGUGUGGGGGAAGGGGAGGGGAGUGGGCGCCCUCCCCAUCCCCGGAGGCGUCUCGUUUCUUGCCGUCCCCCUUCCCCCUUCACUACUCCGUCCUUUGUAGAUUGCGCGCUGGAGCGUAUCUGAGCACCCCUCGUUAUCAUCCCUCUCCCACUACACGCCGUCGGCCAACGCGCGACCGCAGCGACGCCCCGCUGUACUUCUGUUAGGAGAGUCCCUCGAGCGGCCCAUGAACGGUGCGACCGAUUUCCCCCUCCCCCCCCUCUUAUCCGACCUUCUCCAGAGGUACUCGCUGGCUGCACCGAGGCGGAACGAAUGUUCGAGUCGGACAUGCGUACGCAUGCGCGUGUGAGUCGAGGAGGGAGCGCUUGCGUGCAACGCCGCUUUCUUUCUCGCAGCACCGAGUUGAGCUGCGUUCCGUGAGCGCGCACUCCCUCCUCCCCCUCCUCCCCCUCCGCCGGCUGCUCUCCUUGCCCUCUUGCUGGCGGCGCUCUGCGGUGCCCGUCUGAGCUGUGGCUCCGUCCUCGGCUAUCUCUCCCCCUUUUCUGCCCCCACCUGUCUACCGCUUUCUACACACUCUCUAACCUGUUCCCCAAG
rnacentral:misc_RNA from 1 species